GGGCCUACUGCCUCCCUCACCUGAAGCUGAUUGAGGCAAUCAUGUUGGAGAUUUAAGCUGCUUGCUGACACUGCUUCCUCGCCAGUUCGUCAACUACCCUAUUUACUCCUGAAAAUUCCAUCACACUGAACAACUCAUCUGGGAAAUCUGGUUAACCCGCCUGCUUUCAGAAUCAUCUCUUUGCCUCACCUGCCUGCCCUCCUGCCCUCAUACUACCAUGGGAUCUUCACUGCUCAGGACAGCUGUCACACACCACCAAACCCACCUGGACCGCACCACCUCUCCUUCAACGCUUCCAUCUCCCACCUGCACAUACGUACCUAAUCACCAGCCAGCUGCCAUUGCUUUCUUGGACCUGUCCCCUUGCUUAUCCCUCUCCCCUGGCCAAGACCCUCACGCCCCAUGUGUCAAGCCUUAAGUCAAGUACUAUCGUAAACAUCAUUUUUUUUGUGCUAGUCAAUAAACCUUUGUUAAACCCUUUCCUCAGCCUCUGCUUUG